rnacentral:rRNA from 1 species
UGCGGAAAUCCCUCUUCCUCAUACCCUACACCUUUCUUAUUUUUCAGAGUCUAACACAAUUCCCAAUCGGAAACAUCGACUUAAAUACAGGAUCUUCUAAACCCCUUUCCAUAGACACCACACCACGCGUUGAUAUUUCGGCUUGGGUACGAUAUCCUUCUUUCCCGAAAAUAACAGAAGCUUCAAUCAUCACGCCUCGGGGUCCCUCAGCUAUGUUUUCGUCGUUAAAGGAACCAAGCUCUCAUUUUAUUAAAAAGCUGUCGUAUCCCUAAAACUUACAAAUCCUGUUGGGGCUAGAGGGGAAUCCCCGCUGUCGCGGUAAAUCUUGUAUAUAUAAGAUAGAAAACCGGGGGGGGAGGAGUUUUACUUGCCCCCCCCCAAAAACUCAGGGGCGACAGCUUGGGGAGCGAAAGGGAUUAGAUACCCCAGUAGUUCUAGCCGUAAAAGAAGGAUCCUUGGCGUGGCGAGUAUCGACCCUCCAGUUGCGGGAGCCACCGCGCUAAGUAUCCCCCCUGGGGGGUACGCACGCAAGUGUGAAACUCAAAGGAAUUAACGGGGGCCCGCACAAGCGGUGGAGUAUGUGGUUUAAUUUGAUGCAACGCGAAGAACCUUACCAAGACUUGACAUGUCGCGAAUUCCGGUGAAAGCCGGAAGGGCUUCGGGAGCGCGAACACAGGUGGAGCAUGGCAGUCGACAGCCCGUGUCGUGAGAUCUAGGUAGUCGCACGCACGG